ensembl:lncRNA
UGUGUGUGUGUGUGUGUGUGUGUGUGUUUGUGAUAUGUAGAAAAGUCUCUGUGUGUGUGUGUGUGUGUGUGUGUGUGUGUGUGUUUGUGAUAUGUAGAAAAGUCUGUGUGUGUGUGUGUGUGUGUGUGUGUGUGUGUGUGUGUUUGUGAUAUGUAUAAAAGUGAUUUUCAUUUAAUCCAUUUUUUCCAUUGUCAACAUUUAACCACGUGCCAUUUGUUCAGGUGAAGCACAUUUACACUCUCACACUCACAAACACACACACACACACUCUCACAUUCACACUCACACACACACACACUCACAAACACACUCACUCACUCACACUCACACACACACACACUCACUCACACUCACACAAACACACUCACACAAACACACUCACACACACACACACACACACACUCACAAACUCAACUCAAGCACAGUUGCGUCUAAAAGAAGAUGCUAACAGUCAUUAGCAAAGGUGUCAGUAUGGACAGUUGCUGACAGUUAUUAUCCCAUUCAGAGGAGGAUGUGUGUGUUCAGAGGAUGUGUGUGUGUGAGUUUGACAAUGAAUCUGGGAUUUGAAGAGACUUUUGGCAGCGAAGGCUAGUUUGCGAAUGACUAACUGCUUCAGUGACUUCACACCGCUAGUUACUGGAUGGACUGCAGGACUGCUAUGUGUGAAUACCCUCAUUCUGCAAAGCUGAUCAAUAGCGAUCAAUAGUAGGUAUGAUUUAUUUCAGCAGUAAGGGUAUGUCUUAGGGAGGUCAGAUGAGAAAAAACCCUUGCCAAUAAGUGAUUAAUAAUAUAAUGAUCAAUGAUGAGUUUAGCUAUGCUACAUUUCUGCUGAUCCGCCUCUUCCCGCAUUCUUCCCUGUUAAACAAGGUUCGCUGUUUUUCAGCUUUUUGUUGUUGUUUUUCUGGAUAUUUAGCAUCUUUCUGCACAUGUUUACUUGAACGACUGUUUUUGUGACCUCACGUAUUUGUCUGGUAUUGUUCCUGAAUGUUUUGUAUUUGUGCUAUAGCGUGCUUCUCAGUCCCUAAAUGUUUGUUUGUUUUUGUGCUGUAGUGUGCUCCUGAGUGGAUGUGUGUGUGUGUGUGUAUGUGUGUGUGUGUGUGUGUGUGUGUGUGUGUGUGUGUGUAUGGAAUACAUUAGAUAUUGUGUGUUUUUUAAAGCAUUUACUUUUCAGGUCUUGGUCCAUGUUUAUGAGCUUUUUUACUUUCCUUCAUGCUUUUAUUUGCUUGUUUGUGUGUGUGUGUGUGUGCGUGUGUGAGAAAAAGAGAGAGAGAGGAAGGGAGAGAGAGAGAGAGUGUUAACAGGUUGCUUUGCAGGAGUCAUUGCUCAAGAGAUUACUUGCCACAGUGAUCAGAGAUUUUGUCAUAAUUUAGCUUUUUAUAUUUGUAUUUGUUUGUUUUUACUUGUUCUUAUUGUGGGUAAACUUGGUAUUUUGUAUGAGUGAACCUUGCUUAUUGAAGAGAAGGAGUGUGUCGCCGUCAUUGUUCAGCUACCUCUUAUGUUCUUUUGUGCUCGUCUUGCAAGAAAAAAAAGCACAUUACCUGUGUCGAGUCGUUGCCAUGCCAGCUCACUCUCUCAUGUCUGCGUGUGUUUGUGAGCGAUGUUUAUUUAAAGGGUUUGAUUGGCUGAAGUUGUUUUGUAUUAAAAAGUGAAACAAAAACCGGUUUUUGUCAUUCUACUCAAUGUGAUACAUUUAAUUACAUUACCUAAG